rnacentral:misc_RNA from 1 species
GUGCUAGUAUUUGAAGCAAUGGCCACAUUCAUUGGGCAAGUGUCUGUUUUAUCCCUUAUUGCUAUUUUUGGGGCUGCUGCCACUGCCAUGAUAACAACAGCUAGAAAGGCAGUCACCUUGUUACUGUCAUACAUGAUAUUUACGAAGCCAUUAACGGAGCAGCAUGGGACAGGGCUACUGCUCAUAGCCAUGGGAAUAAUACUGAAGAUAUUGCUAGAUAACAAUCCUCCCAUUAGGCCGGGGAAGUCUCAUUUGAAAGAAGAGACGAGUCUUGUUGAUAACGGAGAGGGUGAAGGAGAUGAAGAGAAUAGGCCCUUAGUGUGAAGAAUAAAGAUGAAGCUCAUAAUUUAUUUGUUAUUUUGUUGGUUAAAUUUAAUCAUUGUUUCUGAUUAAACACAAGGGGUAGUCACAGAAUAGAAAUAACAGAAGUAUAUCAAGGAAGAAAAGAGAGAACCAGAGGAUAGAGAAAUUGGCC